UACGUAUGGAGCAAGCGUUAUCCGGAUUUACUGGGUGUAAAGGGAGCGUAGACGGCGCUGCAAGUCUGAUGUGAAAGGCCGGGGCUCAACCCCGGGACUGCAUUGGAAACUGUGGAGCUUGAGUGCCGGAGAGGUAAGCGGAAUUCCUAGUGUAGCGGUGAAAUGCGUAGAUAUUAGGAGGAACACCAGUGGCGAAGGCGGCUUGCUGGACGGUAACUGACGUUGAGGCUCGAAAGCGUGGGGAGCAAACAGG
rnacentral:rRNA from 1 species